ACAAAUAUGCAAAGGCAAACCAGAGUGGGAGACCACCCUUAGUUUGUUCAAAGUAGGAUGGAUUUCUGCUCUUAUUUGGGGCAGAGUCCAUGGUUUGGAGCAGGUGUAGAAAAUCUUCAGGGUCAGAAAAACUCAGAAUAAAGAUUAAAACACAGGUCUGGCAUCAUCCCAGCAGCAUGGAAGGAUUCCUGAAACGUGGCUCUCUGCCUAAUGCUGUUUCUGUACUACAUGUAUUUUAAUGCUAUUAUAGGAAAGCCCAAGAUAAGAAACAGAUUUGUCUUUCUUUUGAUCAAAACCCAAUUCUAAAUGUAUGUAGAUAAACUAACAACUGUGUAAAUAUCAUUCAAUAAAGUAAUGUGAACGCUACCAUCAGAAUU